rnacentral:rRNA from 1 species
UACGUAGGGUGCAAGCGUUAAUCGGAAUUACUGGGCGUAAAGCGUGCGCAGGCGGUUGUGCAAGACAGAUGUGAAAUCCCCCGGGCUCAACCUGGGAAUUGCAUUUGUGACUGCACGGCUAGAGUGUGUCAGAGGGGGGUAGAAUUCCACGUGUAGCAGUGAAAUGCGUAGAGAUGUGGAGGAAUACCGAUGGCGAAGGCAGCCCCCUGGGAUAACACUGACGCUCAUGCACGGAAA